rnacentral:lncRNA from 1 species
AAGACCUUUAAUGGUCUCCUAUGUAUGGUUCUUUUGUUCAUUUGUCCUGUUAGAAUUGAAUAAACGGUAAUAAGUUAUCUGACAUAAUAAGGAACGCCACAGGUACAAGAGAUAAACCUGGCAGGUGGCCCAGGAAUAAGGGUGUCACCAAAGUAUCGCUUAACAGAAGGGCCACAGACCUGGAGACCAGUUUCAGCCACCUGUCACUCCCCGCACCCAGGAUCCACACCCAGUGCCAGGCUAAGCGCCAGCUCCCACUGAAAAGGCAGAGGCAGCCACCUGCCGCAGCAUCAGACGUGAACACUGAGCAGAGAUGCCCCAGGAAGUGCAUCCUUCACUCACCCCCCGAGUGCCCUGUGGCUCUGCAGUGCAGGCCAUGACCGCACCCAGAGCCUGUGAGCCCCACUUCCCAUCUACCUCUCCUAUGACCCUUGUCGUAAUUCCUGUCGGAUGGGCAGAGCCUGGCACUACCCCCAUCUUGCACAAGGGGAAACAGGUCCGAUUCCCCGGGGUGCACUGGGACUGAACAUAAGACAGCACCGGGACGCCUCCUCCCAAGCCACGUGGGCUGCUGUGCCCUGAGUCUAGCAUUUUCACCUGGAAUGCCCUGGGUGGGGGCUGAGCAGGAUUCUGUGCCAAGGGCUGGUCCAGGUCUCCCCAAAGGGCCCACCUCUCAGUCCUGGUGAGGGACCUGGCCCGAGGGCCAGCCAGGAGGAAGAGCAGUCAGAGGACUAGACAGACACUAGCCUCUCCUUGGGGACCUGCCUGUUGCCCACACACUCGGUUGAUCAGGAAUGUAGAAACGGAACCCUAUUAGAAUUGCUGGACAGAAAGGUGCUGCUUAUGGGGUCUCUGGAGGAAUCCUGCCGUCCUAAGAGGGACUUUUGUUGUAAAGUCCUCCCUCGGCAUUUCUUUUAUGAAACCUGGACUUUCCCCCAGCUGCAUGGACCUCGAGAGGAACCUAACUCUAGUUUCUCUUCCCAUCACACGGCUCCUGUCAUCUCAUAGGCCUGGGCCAGGGAAGUGGGGUGUCCCGCCAGGGCACAGACACAGGUCCUAGGGUGGGGGUCAGGCCUCUUGGCUUCCUCCACAGUCCCCCAUGCUGCCUGGGCCAAUUUCAGGGCCAAGACCCCUCCUCGCAGCACCGGGGCCCCUGCCCAAAUCAACCCCAGGCCAGAGUUUCAGGGAGAUGGGUUACAAAACCAUCAAAUGCGUGUGUAUGUGUUUGUGUGUGUGUGUGUGUGUGUGUAAGCAAAUGCUUGUGCCUGGGUCUGAGACCCAAGUUCCAAAACAAAGAUACUUUGUAUUGGAAUGCGACAGCCAUUCCCACGUACAAAGCAAGAAUAGAACCUGUGCUUGCUGGUCUGAGAUCAAACCUCAGAAUGGUGGUUUGACAUUUGUCUUCAAAAGAAAAGUUGGGAGAAAGCGGGGGAAGAUGCUCCCCCUUGAACGGGCCUCCCUUUGAUGCCGCUGUGCUGUGAGCCUGCAGGGGAGCAGUAGAGGUGGGACCCUGCCCCACAGCUAGAACAUCUCAGUCCUGGAGGAAGGACAGAAGUGAUGGAGCUGCCUGGGCCAGGACAGCAGAAUACCAGGCCCACGGCAGGCUUAGGCAUGAGGGUGGAGGGAGUCGGUUUUGGUCCUUGUUGACUUUAAAAACAUCAGACUAGUCCUGUGUGUGUGAGACUCUGAGAGUUCAUGCGUUGCGCCUGGAUGGGUGGAGAACAGGCAGCCCUCAGUGGCAAGCAGGAGGGAAGCUGCCUUUGGGGACCGCUGAUGCCACUGGGGACAGGUCACCUGGGGCUCAGCUCUCAGAGGAAGAGGCUGGGUUUCCCCUGGGCCCAAAGCUCUCCCAAGUGUCACCAAGAAGUGACUGGCAGCUCUGGUUGAAGGGGCUUCGACUUUGAAGGGACAGGCAGGCCAUUUCUGUUCCACCUCACCCUUGGGGUUCUCCAAUGGGGACGUGGGGGGUUUGGUCCCCCUGGGCGGGCACCGGAGGCUCUUUCUAACCUGGGAUCAGAGCCUCGGCUUCCUGGCCUCUGAUGCAAAGAUAUACCCCACCACUGGCACUAUUCCUCCUUGUCCCUCUGUCUUGGUAGCUGGGGCCACUGCCUGGUGGCACGGGGUUCCUGACUAAUAUCAGAAUUUCCCUUUCAGCUGGGACACCAAAGCCACACUGGCCACCGCUCAUCCUGACUGACCUCUGCCUAAGUGAGAAGGGAGGAAGGGACAAAGCCAGAUGCGAGGAGGACUCAGCCCACAGCGGACUUCCUGUGUGACCCUGGGCUACAUGCCCACGGUGGCAGGGCCAUGACCUGUGCAGCCGUUUGCAGCUUCCAGGGCUGACAUUCUCAUCUCCACGGACUUUCACUCUCUUUGGUCCUCACGGCUUCCUUAAGUCGGGCAGGAAAGCGAUUACUGUCCCAUUUCACAGUUAGAGAAACUGAGCCCCCAAGGUUGAAUGAGUUGCUCAAGGUCACUCAGCUGGGUGGUGGCAGCCAGGACGGAGCGGACGUGGGCUUCCAGGGACGUGUGCUCUUCACUGUACCUUGUGGGGCCAGCAUGUCCACAACUCCCCCAGCUGAACCAAGACCCCAGGCGAGCUCACCCUCACCGGUUUGGUCUCUGAGGCCGAGGAGGCCCGUGGAGUCCAGCCAAAGCAUUCAGUCCUUAUCUUCAUGGAAACCGAACUCUUCUCUUGGUUGGAAGGCUGAGGAAGUCCAGCUGGCCCUCGGCCUGUAGACUUUCACCCCAGGCCACGCUCCUUAUUCCCGCCCCGACUGCUAUCCACAUGCCACCCAUGGGGCCCACUACAAAGUCCCAGUGUGGAGCUGUGUGGUCAGCACAGGCCCCAAAUGUGUGGACAGAGAAGCCAGAACUGUGCCGGUGCCUGGGGCCCAGUGGGGGGCAGGGGGGCGACCCCAGUUUCACUCCAAGGACUCACACGGGGAGGCUGACCCCGGGAGGAGAGGGCCACUGCAGGGCAGGACUCAGACGUGCUUGGGGGCCCCAGGGACAGCAGGGUCUUGAGCCAACCCGAAGCUUGGAAAGAUGAGCUGGCCUUUUCUCGCAGGAAGACGCCUGAGUGUCCCAACAGGCUGUAGCACAUGGCUGAGCUGGAGGGCACCCGUCCCAGGGGCAAGGGGGGCUGAACUCCAGCCUGUGACCACUUGAAGGGGCUAUGCAUUCCAAGGUGGGUUGAAUCCACCUGGAAGGGGCACCGUUUCUAAUUCACACCAAGGCGCGACAUGGACCAGCAAGCAACCGUGGAGCCCUGAAUGCAGUGGCUCCCCCGCCCCCCGCCUUCAAACCAUUAUUUUCUCUGUAACUUUCCCUUGUUCAUGAGCUUCCUGACAACAGGGGCUGCGACUGACCCAACUCUAUGUCUCCAGGGCUCAGCACCAAGCAGAGAUGUCAUCAACCAAGGAUGGUCAAGCCAGAUUCAAAUGAACUUGACCACUGCCCUUCUGCAGUCCUAGACUCAAAGAGUAAAUAAAACGCUCAAUGGAGUUCCCAUUGUGGUGCAGCGGAAAUGAAUCCGACUAGGAACCAUGAGGUUGCAGGUUCGAUCCCUGGCCUCGCUCAGUGGGUUGAGGAUCCGGUGUUGCCGUGAGCUGUGGUAUAGGUUCCAGACAUGGCUUGGAUCCUGCGUUGCUGUGGCUGUGGCGUAGGCCAGCAGCUAUAGCUCUGAUUAGACCCCUAGCCUGGGAACCUCCAUAUGCUGCGGGUGCGGCCCCAAAAAGAAAAAAGAAAAAAAUGCUCACUGGGCCCGUGGUGCAUCUUGCAGCUGGAGAAAUUUCAGCUCAGCGCUGGGAUAAACCCAAAAUGGUGAGUGUGAUUUUCGAGGUGGAAGGAGGGCUAGAAACCAGCCUGACAAAGCUUUUGGGUGACUGGGUUAGUGAUGAGGGAAGAGGUCCAUCUGUAGUCACCCCAAAUCCUAAUGGGUCUUAUACCAGCCCCCAAGGUUCCAGAAGAUAACCUUGGAGAACAUAUGCUGGCCAUGUGUUAUUCCCACACUUCAUCAACUCUGCAGCUGCCAGGGGCGGGGGGGCAAAUGGCCCCGCAAGCUCUGGGAGGGGCUGGAUUCAGCAGGGACCCCAAAACUGGCCGGAGGAUUGCGACUGCCCCGAGCUGACUUGGUUCUGACCUGGGGUAGGUGUCCCUAGGGUUGAGGGUUGAUGAGAUCCCUGAAGGCAAGGGCUAGGGCACUGUGCCAGGCAUGUGAACUGGGUAAUUUCACCAUGGAAAAUGGUCGCACAGUCCACCCCAGGAGGGGCUGGACCGAGAAGGGUCGAAAUUCCAAUUAUACAGUAAAAUUUUGCUGUCUCCCUUUUCACAAGUAUGGGACAGGGACUGAACAGAGCAAGAGAGCCCCUUGCUAAUCAAUAUAUCUGCUUGGGUAUAAGGUCAACUUCAGGCCAUCCAAAGGGAGUGGGAAGUACUGGGGGGCCCAUCACAAGCCCCCCUACCCCACCCCUGCAACGCCUCAGCAAAGACAAGCUCUGUCCUUCUGUAACACCCGGCCCCCAGGGCCAAGCAGCUCAUGCUAGCUACAGGGAAGCCCCCCACCCUGUGGCGGGGGCGGGACUCGAGAGGGGCCCUUCUCAGGCCUGGAGCAGGCGGAGGUGGGGGCGCUAGGCCCUCUCCACGGCCCUGCACCUCUGGGGCCAAUGAAUCCUCGCCGGUGGUAGACAGGACAGAGUCAAGGGCUCUGACUCCACCCACCAGACCAGAAGCUCCAAGGUUCACAAAUUCUUGGAG